UCCCUGGUGGCUCAGUGGUAAAGAAUCUGCCUGAGAUGCAGGAGACGUGGGUUCGACCCCUGUGUUGGGAU
rnacentral:tRNA from 1 species